rnacentral:tRNA from 1 species
AGCAGGAUGGCCAAGUGUUUAAGGUGUUGGACUUAAGUUCCAAUGGAUGUAUAUCCACGUGGGUUUGAACCCCACUUCUGGUA